rnacentral:rRNA from 1 species
UACGUAGGGUGCGAGCGUUGUCCGGAAUUAUUGGGCGUAAAGAGCUUGUAGGCGGUUUGUCGCGUCUGCUGUGAAAAGUCCGGGGACUCAACCCCGGACUUGCAGUGGGUACGGGCAGACUGGAGUGUGGUAGGGGAGACUGGAAUUCCUGGUGUAGCGGUGGAAUGCGCAGAUAUCAGGAGGAACACCGGUGGCGAAGGCGGGUCUCUGGGCCGUAACUGACGCUGAGGAGCGAAAGCAUGGGGAGCGAACAGG